rnacentral:rRNA from 2 species
UAUCAAUAAGCGGAGGAAAAGAAACCAACAGGGAUUGCCCCAGUAACGGCGAGUGAAGCGGCAACAGCUCAAAUUUGAAAUCUGGCCCCUAGGGCCCGAGUUGUAAUUUGUAGAGGAUGCUUUUGGCGAGGCGCCUUCCGAGUUCCCUGGAACGGGACGCCACAGAGGGUGAGAGCCCCGUCUGGUCGGAUGCCAAGCCUAUGUAAAGCUCCUUCGACGAGUCGAGUAGUUUGGGAAUGCUGCUCAAAAUGGGAGGUAUAUGUCUUCUAAAGCUAAAUAUUGGCCAGAGACCGAUAGCGCACAAGUAGAGUGAUCGAAAGAUGAAAAGCACUUUGAAAAGAGGGUUAAAAAGUACGUGAAAUUGUUGAAAGGGAAGCGCCUAUGACCAGACUUGGGCCCGGUGAAUCAUCCAGCGUUCUCGCUGGUGCACUUUGCCGGGCACAGGCCAGCAUCAGUUUGGCGCGGGGGAUAAAGGUUUCGGGAACGUGGCUCCCUCGGGAGUGUUAUAGCCCGUUGCGUAAUACCCUGCGCCGGACUGAGGUACGCGCAUUGCAAGGAUGCUGGCGUAAUGGUCAUCAGCGACCCGUCUUGAAACACGGACCAAGGAGUCGUCUUCGUAUGCGAGUGUUCGGGUGUAAAACCCUACGCGUAAUGAAAGUGAACGCAGGUGAGAGCUUCGGCGCAUCAUCGACCGAUCCUGAUGUUCUCGGAUGGAUUUGAGUAAGAGCAUACGGGGCCGGACCCGAAAGAAGGUGAACUAUGCCUGUAUAGGGUGAAGCCAGAGGAAACUCUGGUGGAGGCUCGCAGCGGUUCUGACGUGCGAAUCGAUCGUCAAAUAUGGGCAUGGGGGCGAAAGACUAAUCGAACCUUCUAGUAGCUGGUUUC